AUGUUAGCUUCAGCUCCACUGCUGCUGCUGGCUCUCGCCCCCUAUGUGUUCUGUGCUACUGAGCUCAUCCAGCCAGACUCACUGCUUAUAAAGCCAGGAGAGACUUUAACCAUCACCUGUAAAGUGUCUGGAGCUUCUAUCACUGAUAGCAGCAGCCACUAUGGAACAGCUUGGAUUCGACAACCUGCAGGAAAAGCUUUAGAAUGGAUCAAUAUAAUUUAUUAUAAUGGUGAUAUUUAUAAGAAAGAUUCACUUAAAGACAAGUUUGUCGUCUCUCGAGACACUUCCAGUAACACUGUGACCUUACGGGGACAGAACAUGCAGACUGAAGACACAGCUGUGUAUUACUGCGCU